rnacentral:rRNA from 1 species
UAAAGAUUCAUCGCUGAUAGAUAGGCAUGCGUUCCAUUAGGCAGUUGGCGGGGUAACGGCCCACCAAACCGACGAUGGAUAGGGGUUCUGAGAGGAAGGUCCCCCACAUUGGUACUGAGACACGGACCAAACUCCUACGGGAGGCAGCAGUGAGGAAUAUUGGUCAAUGGGCGUAAGCCUGAACCAGCCAAGUCGCGUGAGGGAUGAAGGUUCUAUGGAUCGUAAACCUCUUUUAUAAGGGAAUAAAGUGCGGGACGUGUCCCGUUUUGUAUGUACCUUAUGAAUAAGGAUCGGCUAACUCCGUGCCAGCAGCCGCGGUAAUACGGAGGAUCCGAGCGUUAUCCGGAUUUAUUGGGUUUAAAGGGUGCGUAGGCGGCCUUUUAAGUCAGCGGUGAAAGUCUGUGGCUCAACCAUAGAAUUGCCGUUGAAACUGGGAGGCUUGAGUAUGUUUGAGGCAGGCGGAAUGCGUGGUGUAGCGGUGAAAUGCUUAGAUAUCACGCAGAACCCCGAUUGCGAAGGCAGCCUGCCAAGCCAUGACUGACGCUGAUGCACGAAAGCGUGGGGAUCAAACAGGAUUAGAUACCCUGGUAGUCCACGCAGUAAACGAUGAUCACUAGCUGUUUGCGAUACAGUGUAAG